GACGUAGGGCGCGAGCGUUGUCCGGAUUUAUUGGGCGUAAAGAGCUCGUAGGCGGUGUGUCACGUCGGCCGUGAAAACCUGCAGCUUAACUGUGGGCGUGCGGUCGAUACGGGCAUCACUGGAGUUCGGCAGGGGAGACUGGAAUUCCUGGUGUAGCGGUGAAGUGCGCAGAUAUCAGGAGGAACACCGGUGGCGAAGGCGGGUCUCUGGGCCGAUACUGACGCUGAGGAGCGAAAGCGUGGGGAGCAAACAGG
rnacentral:rRNA from 1 species